rnacentral:rRNA from 1 species
CCCUUAGAUGUUCUGGGCCGCACGCGCGUUACACUGAUGCAUUCAACGAGCUUAUAACCUUGGCCGAGAGGCCUGGGCAAUCUUGUUAACGUGCAUCGUGAUAGGGAUAGAUUAUUGAAAUUAUUAAUCUUGAACGAGGAAUUCCUAGUAAACGCAGAUCAUCAAUCUGCAUUGAUUACGUCCCUGCCCUUUGUACACACCGCCCGUCGCACCUACCGAUUGGAUGGUCCGGUGAAGCCUCGGGAUUGUGGUUCUUGCCGCUUUGUUGUGGCGUGACCGCGAGAACUUGUCUAAACCUUAUCAUCUAGAGGAAGGUGAAGUCGUAACA